AUUGAACGCUGGCGGCAUGCCUUACACAUGCAAGUCGAACGGCAGCACGGGAGCAAUCCUGGUGGCGAGUGGCGAACGGGUGAGUAAUAUAUCGGAACGUGCCCGGUCGUGGGGAUAACGUAGCGAAAGCUACGCUAAUACCGCAUACGAUCUACGGAUGAAAGCGGGGGAUCGCAAGACCUCGCGCGAUUGGAGCGGCCGAUAUCAGAUUAGGUAGUUGGUGAGGUAAAGGCUCACCAAGCCGACGAUCUGUAGCUGGUCUGAGAGGACGACCAGCCACACUGGGACUGAGACACGGCCCAGACUCCUACGGGAGGCAGCAGUGGGGAAUUUUGGACAAUGGGCGCAAGCCUGAUCCAGCAAUGCCGCGUGCAGGAUGAAGGCCUU
rnacentral:rRNA from 1 species